rnacentral:lncRNA from 11 species
UCCGAGCGGGCCUCGAACUCAUGACCUCCUGGUCAGAGUGAUUCAUUGCAGUUAAUUGCAGCUGGCUUGCUCUCCCGCCUGCACCACAGCCCGGGCCCAAUCUUAAUGUAAUUUGAUGUUUAAUAGGCUUUUCCUUAAUCCCUCCUCAUUAUCCAACCUUUUUGCUUAUCCAACGCUUUUAUUUUUCAGUGAUUGGUUGGGGGGGGGGCAUAAUUCUGUUCGCCUACACUUGAAAAAUACCUAGGGCCGGCUCUGGGAGGAACACAGUGGGUGGGCCCCGAUUGGAGAUGUCUCUGUGGCUGACCCCUCUCCCCCCCCCCGUCCACACUAGAACCUCUUCCACCACCUGACGGACGUGCAGGGCAGCGGCGUGGUGCGGAUCCCGGAGGCCAAGGGGGACGACGCCUGGAAGGUCUACUUUGACGAAACGGGGCAGGAGAUCGUGGACGAGUUCGCCAUGCGCUACGGCAUCGAGUCCAUCUACCAGGCCAUGACGCACUUUGCGUGCCUCUCCUCCAAGUACAUGUGUCCCGGGGUCCCGGCCGUGAUGAGCACCUUGCUGGCCAACAUCAACGCCUACUACGCCCACACCUCCGCCUCCACCAACGUCUCCGCCUCCGACCGCUUCUCCGCUUCCAACUUCGGGAAAGAGCGUUUUGUGAAGCUCCUGGACCAGCUCCACAACUCCCUCCGGAUCGACCUCUCCAUGUACCGGAACAACUUCCCGGCCAGCAGCAAGGAGCGCCUGCAGGACCUGAAGUCGACGGUGGACCUCCUGACCAGCAUCACCUUCUUCCGGAUGAAGGUAGGGCAGUGGGGGGCAGAGUCUCCCCCUGCAGCCCCUCCCUUUCUCUGCCCGCGGCCCCUU